GACGAACGCUGGCGGCGUGCUUAACACAUGCAAGUCGAACGGAAAGGCCCUGCUUUUGUGGGGUGCUCGAGUGGCGAACGGGUGAGUAACACGUGAGUAAGCUGCCCUUGACUUUGGGAUAACUUCAGGAAACUGGGGCUAAUACUGAAUAGUAGCUCCUGCUGCAUGGUGGGGGUUGGAAAGUUUCGGCGGUUGGGGAUGGACUCGCGGCUUAUCAGCUUGUUGGUGGGGUAGUGGCUUACCAAGGCUUUGACGGGUAGCCGGCCUGAGAGGGUGACCGGCCACAUUGGGACUGAGAUACGGCCCAGACUCCUACGGGAGGCAGCAGUGGGGAAUAUUGCACAAUGGGCGGACGCCUGAUGCAGCAACGCCGCGUGCGGGAUGACGGCCUUCGGGUUGUAAACCGCUUUCGCCUGUGACGAAGCGUGAGUGACGGUAAUGGGUAAAGAAGCACCGGCUAACUACGUG
rnacentral:rRNA from 1 species